GACGAUACAGGGUGAUAGUCCCGUAGUUGACGACGUGUGUUCAGUGAAAUCGAGUAGGGCGGGACACGUGAUAUCCUGUCUGAAUAUGGGGGGACCAUCCUCCAAGGCUAAAUACUACUGACUGACCGAUAGUGAACCAGUACCGUGAGGGAAAGGCGAAAAGAACCCCUGUGAGGGGAGUGAAAUAGAACCUGAAACCGUGUACGUACAAGCAGUAGGAGCAGGCUUGUCCUGUGACUGCGUACCUUUUGUAUAAUGGGUCAGCGACUUAUAUUCAGUGGCAAGGUUAACCAUCUAGGGGAGCCGUAGGGAAACCGAGUCUUAACUGGGCGUUCAGUCUCUGGAUAUAGACCCGAAACCAGGUGAUCUAGCCAUGGGCAGGUUGAAGGUUGAGUAACAUCAACUGGAGGACCGAACCGACUAAUGUUGAAAAAUUAGCGGAUGACUUGUGGCUAGGGGUGAAAGGCCAAUCAAACCUGGAGAUAGCUGGUUCUCCCCGAAAGCUAUUUAGGUAGCGCCUCGGACGAAUACUACUGGGGGUAGAGCACUGUUAAGGCUAGGGGGUCAUCCCGACUUACCAACCCUUUGCAAACUCCGAAUACCAGUAAGUACUAUCCGGGAGACACACGGCGGGUGCUAACGUCCGUCGUGGAGAGGGAAACAACCCAGACCGCCAGCUAAGGUCCCAAAUUACUACUAAGUGGGAAACGAUGUGGGAAGGCUCAGACAGCCAGGAUGUUGGCUUAGAAGCAGCCAUCAUUUAAAGAAAGCGUAAUAGCUCACUGGUCGAGUCGGCCUGCGCGGAAGAUGUAACGGGGCUAAGUAGUAAACCGAAGCUGCGGCAAUGUACUUUUGUAUAUUGGGUAGGGGAGCGUUCUGUAAGCGGUUGAAGGUGUGUGGUAACGCAUGCUGGACGUAUCAGAAGUGCGAAUGCUGACAUGAGUAACGAUAAAGGGGGUGAAAAACCUCCUCGCCGGAAGACCAAGGGUUCCUGUCCAACGUUAAUCGGGGCAGGGUAAGUCGACCCCUAAGGCGAGGCCGAAAGGCGUAGUCGAUGGGAAACGGGUUAAUAUUCCCGUACUUCUUACAAUUGCGAUGGGGGGACGGAGAAGGCUAGGUGGGCCUGGCGACGGUUGUCCAGGUUCAAGUGCGUAGGCU
rnacentral:rRNA from 1 species